rnacentral:rRNA from 1 species
GACGAACGCUGGCGGCGUGCCUAAUACAUGCAAGUCGAGCGAAGUUUUUCUGGUGCUUGCACCGGAAAAACUUAGCGGCGAACGGGUGAGUAACACGUAAAGAACCUGCCUCAUAGACUGGGACAACUAUUGGAAACGAUAGCUAAUACCGGAUAAUAGCAUUAACUGCAUGGUUGAUGUUUAAAAGUUGGUUUUGCUAACACUAUGAGAUGGCUUUGCGGUGCAUUAGCUAGUUGGUGGGGUAAAGGCCUACCAAGGCGACGAUGCAUAGCCGACCUGAGAGGGUGAUCGGCCACACUGGGACUGAGACACGGCCCAGACUCCUACGGGAGGCAGCAGUAGGGAAUCUUCCGCAAUGGGCGAAAGCCUGACGGAGCAACGCCGCGUGAGUGAAGAAGGAUUUCGGUUCGUAAAGCUCUGUUGUUAGGGAAGAAUGAUUGUGUAGUAACUAUACACAGUAGAGACGGUACCUAACCAGAAAGCCACGGCUAACUACGU